rnacentral:rRNA from 1 species
AAACGAAGUGAAUUGAAAUAUCUUAAUAACUUCAGGAAAAUAAAUCAAAAGAGAUUCCCUAAGUAAUGUGAAUGAAAUAGGAUAAGUUUUAAAAAGUAAAAUGGAGUGUACAUCUGUUUGAACAAAAGGGGAACCUUCCUCUAAAACUAAAUAUAAUAUAUAAGCGAUAGCGAAAAGUACCGUGAGGGAAAUGAUCAAAAUAGUAGUUUUAUAAGCAGCUCAAGAUAAAGUUUAAAUAAACAAUAAGAGCGUACCUUUCGCAUAAUGGGUCAGCAAGUUAAUGUUUGAUGCGAGCAGUAAUGCGUAGAUAAAACAAUUAUGAUAUAAUGAUGUAGUAUCAAAAUUAGACCCGAAGCCUAGUGAUCUUACCAUUAUCAGGAUUAUAAAAGUCCGAACGGGUUAUCGUUGUAAAGAUAUCCGAAGAAUUGUGGUAAGUUAGUGAAAGACAAUACUGACUAGGAUAGCUGGUUUUCUGCGAAACCUAUAUAAGUAGGUAAUUUAAAUAGAAUAUCAGAAGGUACAGAAUUGUGAUCUCAUACAACUAGUAUUCAUUUUUCUUUAUAUAUAAGGAAAAGUGAAAGGUAUGCUUUUUGUGGACAUUGGGGGGUCGUGAAGACUCUAUCAGUGAGUAUUUGUUCUCGGAAGGACUAGAUAUGUAUAUUGAAUAAUCGGACAUAGUACGAUAAGGUUGUAUGUCUAAAGGGAAACAGCCCAGAACAAGAGUUAAUAAGGUUCCAAAAUUUUUGUUAAGUGAAAUUAAGGCAGUAUUUAUCCCAAACGGCCAGGGAAUAGGCUUAGAAGCGGCCAUUUUUUGAAGACCUCGUAACAGAGCACUGGUUUUGUUUAAAAGUUUUAUGGAUAAAAGCACCGAAAAUUUAACGGAUCUAAACAAGAUACCGAAACCUUGUCCAUAUAUAUUAAUGUAUAUAUUAUACAUUGUAUAUAAGGGGUAGCGGAACAUUGGGGAAGUUUUAGAUUGCUCCUUUACAAGGAUUGAAUAGUGGUAGGAUAGACAACCCAAGUGAUAAUGCUGACAUGAGUAACGAUAAGGGGUAUUAUCUGAUAGUUGAGCUGCCUUUUUCACCUAUGAUAAAUAGGUAUAUUAUAACACAUAUGUUUUGUGUAUAGUUCAGUAUAAUAUUGGAGUAAAACACCCCUCGCCUAAAGCUUAUGGCAUUUAAUUAAAGUUACGGCCUCUAAGUUUGUUAUACUUUUAUAUAUACGUGUUAUUUAUGAGAGAUCCCUAACGGGAUAAACGAUGAGAAAACCUAGAGUAUAUAGAAACUAACAUUUAUUUUAACAAUACAAGAAUGUAAAGUGCAAGGGCAAAUUUUGUUCUUUUGCAACCUGUUGAAAAAAGAUAAGUGAUAAAUGUUCUGGAAAACUGUAAACUCCGUAACUAAGUAUAAAUAAACUAGAUCAUAUUCUUAGUUUACGCGAUAAUACCGUACCUAAAUACUAACACAAGUAAGCAAGUAGAGAAUACGAAGGCGUUCGAGCUAACAAUCAUUAAGGAACUCGGCAAAUUGACUCUCGUAACUUCGGGAUAAGGUGGGCCAUUCCUCCUGAUUAAUAUUAGGCAAGGAAUAGGAGGCAUAGAAUGGUGUUGUACGACUGUUUAAUUAAAACAAAGCACGCUGCAAAGAAAUGAAUUCGAAGUAUUGAGUGUGAUCUCUGCCCGAUGGCGGCUGGUUAUCGGAUUUGCUUAGUUGACUAGAAUAAGCUAGGCUUUGAAGGAAACCCCGUUCAAUGGCGGCCUUACCUAUAAGGGUCCUAAGGUAGCGGAAUACCCUGGCCGUUAAAUGCGGUCUUGCAUGAAUGAUGUAACGAUACAACAGCUGUCUCAAUGAUUGGCUCGGUGAAAUUGGAAUAACUGUGCAGAUACAGUUUACCUCUAGUUAGACGAGAAGACCCUAUGCAGCUUUACUGUUGCUAGUUACCGAGUAUGAUAUAAUGAGUUGUAGUUUAUAAGGUAAUUGAUAAGAUGAAAUUGAAACACCUUUACUUCAUUUAUCAUAUUAUAUAAACCUUGUCAGGAGAUAGGUCCAAUGGCCAUUCUUUUAAGAUUUCGUGAUUAAUACACGAGCACUGAUUGUAAGAAUUCAUAGGAACAAUUGCUAGGUGGCAGUUUAUGCGGGGCACAGAUCCCAUAAAAUUUACUUAUCAAGUUUAACGGCUUAAUCUUGCCUUACUGUUUGACUUACACGUCUUUCAGUCGCGUAAGCGGGGCAUAUGAUCACAAGAUGCAAAAAGGAAAGGUCUUGGAUUAUUGAAAAAGUUACGCUAGGGAUAACAGGCUAAUUGCGCCAGAGAGUUCAAAUUGAGUGCGCAGUUUGGCACCUCGAUGUCGGCUUAGCUUAUCCACAUGAAUGUAGGAGUCAUGAAGGGUGCGACUGUUCGUCGAUUAAAAAGCUACACGAGCUGGGUUAAAUACGUCGUGAGACAGUAUGGUUUCUAUCUUCUAGAGGAAAUUAGAAUAAAAUAAGGAUAGCCCCUUGUACGAAAGGAGUUGGGUAUGUUAACCUAUGGUUUACCUGUUGUUUAACAUCCUAUAUUAAUAUGAUUAAAAGGAAAAGAUGACGUUUUAUCUACAACAUGGAGAAACGAAGUAUUUCUUUAUAUAGCUUAUAUGUUUAUAGCCAAUAAUACGCUUAAUAUAUUGGCUUAUGUAAAUGUAAGCUGGGAUUUUUACUUUACACUAAGUAUUAAUUGGCUUAGUUGCUGAUUCAGGUUAGGUGUAAACAAAUUGAAUAAGAUGAUAUAAAUAAACUGUUUCAAGCGCUAUUCUUUAUAAUCGCACGGCAGGAAAGCUACGUUAGUUAAUGAUAAGUGCUGAAUGCAUAUAGGCACGAAACAUACCUUAAGAUAUUCUCAAAUAUACGUAGUUUAACACUACAAUUU